rnacentral:rRNA from 1 species
CGGCGAGUGAAGCGGCAACAGCUCAAAUUUGAAAUCUGGCCUCGGCCCGAGUUGCAAUUUGCAGAGGAUGCUUCUGGCGCGGUGCCUUCCGAGUUCCCUGGAACGGGACGCCACAGAGGGUGAGAGCCCCGUAUGGUCGGACACCAAGCCUGUGUGAAGCUCCUUCGACGAGUCGAGUAGUUUGGGAAUGCUGCUCUAAAUGGGAGGUAAAUCUCUUCUAAAGCUAAAUACCGGCCAGAGACCGAUAGCGCACAAGUAGAGUGAUCGAAAGAUGAAAAGCACCUUGAAAAGGGGGUUAAAUAGUACGUGAAAUUGUUGAAAGGGAAGCACUUGUGACCAGACUUGGGCCGGGCGGCUCAUCAGGGGUUCUCCCCUGUGCACUCCGCCCGGCACAGGCCAGCAUUUGGUUCUCGUGGGGGGACAAGACCGUCAGGAACGUAGCACCCUUCCGGGGUG